rnacentral:rRNA from 1 species
UACGUAGGUGGCAAGCGUUGUCCGGAUUUAUUGGGUUUAAAGGGUACGUAGGCGGCUUUGUAAGUCAGUGGUGAAAUAUGGCAGCUCAACUGUCAAGGUGCCAUUGAUACUGCAGAGCUUGAGUACAGAUGAGGUAGGCGGAAUUGACGGUGUAGCGGUGAAAUGCUUAGAUAUCGUCAAGAACACCUAUAGCGAAGGCAGCUUACUAGGCUGUAACUGACGCUGAGGCACGAAAAGUGUGGGGGAUCAAAACAGG